rnacentral:snoRNA from 1 species
UGACCAUGGUGUGGGCAGUCUCUAAGUAGCUUCUUAUAUCGCUCACAAGCUUGGUGAAGCAUUUCGACUUCCUUUUGUUGGAAUCCAGAAAUCUGGCUCCUUAGCGA